AGAUUAAAAACAAAAGUCUCAUUUGGUGGUCAUUUUUCUGUAUUAAAAUGAAAAAUACAUUUAAAAAAAGUAAAUUUUUUUACGCUUUAUUAAAACUGUGUGCGUUUUCCGUUAAGGGCGGCUUGUAACUUGUAUUAAUCAACUUCCGGUUGAAAAAACAUGCGCUAACGCCGACAGUAAGCUGCACUUACCCACAAAAUAACCCAUUAUAACCAUUAAUCCCAGUGCUGCAGAGACUGUAAGCGCUUGUGUGUGAACGUCGUGAAGUGUCAUAAUGUCUGAUCUCUAACCGACGAAGCUGUCAGAUUUCUCAAGGAUGUCCCAGGGUUAUUGGACCGAACCAAACACAGCUUAUUCUUUUAUUGCUCACAUCAACAGACAACUGAGCUAAGGUCAGUCACGAAGCGAGAUGACAGAAGAUGUUACCCACAAGACAAGCUGCUAAGUUGCCAACCUGCUUGGCAAAAUCUGACUUGGAUACGACAUGCUUUUGAUGCCACCAUUCUUCUCUAUAGCAGGUGUGUCUCAGGUGGUGCUCACUUUACGAUGCAUUUAAAGAAGGCUUUUAUGAUAACGUCAUAUCAGGUUUAUUUCUCUCACGGCAUUAACUCGAUCGGCCCUUAAAGCUGUGGACCUCAGCGUGUCUUUGGGACGGGGAGAGGAAUAUAAAGUGAAGGAUUACAGACGGACACUCAUUUAUCAGCAGGUUGUCCUGCGUGCAGGCGCUGUAUCAGUGCUGAAGUGUGUAGACUCUGGAUAACGUCUGUAACAGCUCAUCUGAAUGAAUGAUGAAGUGUGAAACAACUCUGCUCCUCGACAUGAGACAGGUG